AAUAGAUACCCUGGGUAGUCCACGCCGUAAACGGUGGGCACUAGGUGUGGGAAACUAUCUACGUUUUCCGCGCCGCAGCUAACGCAUUAAGUGCCCCGCCUGGGGAGUACGGCCGCAAGGCUAAACUCAAAGGGAAUUGGACGGGGGCCCGCACAAGCGGCGGAGCAUGCGGCUUAAUUCGAUGCAACGCGAAGAACCUUACCUAGGCUUGACAUAUAGCGUUUACCGGCAGAGAUGUCGGGUCCUUCGGGGCGCUAUACAGGUGGUGCAUGGCUGUCGUCAGCUCGUGUCGUGAGAUGUUGGGUUAAGUCCCGCAACGAGCGCAACCCUCGUCCUAUGUUGCCAGCAUUCAGUUGGGGACUCUAACGAGACUGCCAGUGACAAACUGGAGGAAGGUGGGGAUGACGUCAAAUCAUCAUGCCCCUUAUGACCUGGGCUACACACGUGCUACAAUGGUUGGUACAAAGAGAAGCGAAGCGGUGACGUGGAGCAAACCUCAUAAAGCCAAUCUCAGUUCGGA
rnacentral:rRNA from 1 species